GUGGACUCUCAAGUGUGAGGUAAGGGCGUUUGGUGAAUGCCUUGGCAUGCAGAGGCGAUGAAGGACGUGGCACGCUGCGAUAAGCGUUGGGGAGCUGUGAGCAAGCUUUGAUCCAACGAUUUCCGAAUGGGGAAACCCACCCUCACCAUUUAAUUUCGCCGCCGAGCAAUCGGCGUCGAAGGUUAAAUGGGAAGGGUAUCACCGAAGUGAAUACAUAGCUUUGGUGAAGCGAACCCGGGGAACUGAAACAUCUCAGUACCCGGAGGAAAGGACAUCAACAGAGACUCCCGUAGUAGUGGCGAGCGAACCGGGACCAGGCCAAUGCCUUCGAUUCAACUAACAGAAGCUUCUGGAAAGUAGCGCCAUAGUGGGUGACAGCCCCGUAUGUGAAAGUGAUGUCGAAGGAUUUGAGUAGGGCGGGGCACGUGAAACCCUGUCUGAACGUAGGGGGACCACCCUCUAAGCCUAAGUACUCCUGCAUGACCGAUAGUGAACUAGUACCGUGAGGGAAAGGUGAAAAGCACCCCGAUGAGGGGAGUGAAACAGUACCUGAAACCGAACGCCUACAAGCAGUUGGAGGGUCCUUGAGACCUGACAGCGUACCUCUUGCAUAAUGGGUCAGUGACUUAGUGUAACAAGCAAGCUUAAGCCGUUAGGUGUAGGCGCAGCGAAAGCGAGUCUGAAUAGGGCGACUGAGUUUGUUGCAUUAGACCCGAAACCCGGUGAUCUAGGCAUGACCAGGCUGAAGGUGCGGUAACACGCACUGGAGGGCCGAACCGUUCAAUGUUGAAAAAUUGUCGGAUGAGUUGUGUUUAGGGGUGAAAGGCCAAUCAAACCGGGAAAUAGCUGGUUCUCCGCGAAAUCUAUUGAGGUAGAGCGUCAGACGAAUACCAUGGGGGGUAGAGCACUGGAUGGAUGCGGGGGUCGCGAGAUCUACCAAUUCUAACCAAACUCCGAAUACCCAUGAGUAAUAUCUGGCAGACAGACGGCGGGUGCUAAGGUCCGUCGUCAAAAGGGAAACAGCCCUGACCUACAGCUAAGGUCCCCAAGUCACGUCUAAGUGGUAAAGCAUGUGGGAAUCCCAAAACAACCAGGAGGUUGGCUUAGAAGCAGCCAUCCUUUAAAGAAAGCGUAACAGCUCACUGGUCUAAAUAAGGGUUCCUGCGGCGAAAAUGUAACGGGGCUCAAGACGUGCACCGAAGCUUAGGGUGUGUAGUUUACUACACGCGGUAGCGGAGCGUUCCGUAGGCUGAUGAAGCGAUCUGGUAAUGGGUCGUGGAGGUAUCGGAAGUGCGAAUGCUGACAUGAGUAGCGAUAAACAGGGUGAGAUGCCCUGUCGCCGAAAUCCCAAGGGUUCCUGCUUAAAGCUAAUCUGAGCAGGGUAAGCCGGCCCCUAAGACGAGCCCGAAGGGGGUAGUCGAUGGGAACCACGUUAAUAUUCGUGGGCCUGGAGGUGUGUGACGGAUCUCGUAAAUUGUCUGCUCUUAUUGGAUUGAGCAGGCUUUGAAGAGGUUCCAGGAAAUAGCCCCUCCAUUAUAGACCGUACCCUAAACCGACACAGGUGGGAUGGUAGAGUAUACCAAGGCGCUUGAGAGAAGUCUCCUGAAGGAACUCGGCAAAUUGCCUCCGUACCUUCGGAAGAAGGAGGCCCUCAUUCCGGGCAACCGGUUUGAGGGGGCACAGGCCAGGGGGUAGCGACUGUUUAGCAAAAACACAGGGCUCUGCUAAGUCGGCUUCAAGACGACGUAUAGGGCCUGACGCCUGCCCGGUGCCUGAAGGUUAAGUGG
rnacentral:rRNA from 1 species